rnacentral:misc_RNA from 1 species
GAUGAAGAACGCAGCGAAAUGCGAUAAGUAGUGUGAAUUGCAGAAUUCAGUGAAUCAUCGAAUCUUUGAACGCACAUUGCGCCCUUUGGUAUUCCAAAGGGCAUGCCUGUUCGAGCGUCAUUUGUACCCUCAAGCUUUGCUUGGUGUUGGGCGUCUUGUCUCUAGCUUUGCUGGAGACUCGCCUUAAAGUAAUUGGCAGCCGGCCUACUGGUUUCGGAGCGCAGCACAAGUCGCACUCUCUAUCAGCAAAGGUCUAGCAUCCACUAAGCCUUUUUUUCAACUUUUGACCUCGGAUCAGGUAGGGAUACCCGCUGAACUUAAGCAUAUCAAUAGCGGAGGA